rnacentral:rRNA from 1 species
AUUGAACGCUGGCGGUAUGCUUAACACAUGCAAGUCGAACGGAAACGAUACUAGCUUGCUAGUAGGCGUCGAGUGGCGGACGGGUGAGUAACGCGUAGGAAUCUACCUGAUAGUGGGGGAUAGCCCGGAGAAAUUCGGAUUAAUACCGCAUAAUCUAUUCGUAGUAAAGUGGGGGACUUUCGAGCCUCACGCUAUCAGAUGAGCCUGCGUAAGAUUAGCUUGUUGGUAGGGUAAAAGCCUACCAAGGCGACGAUCUUUAGCUGGUCUGAGAGGAUGAUCAGCCACAUCGGGACUGAGACACGGCCCGAACUCCUACGGGAGGCAGCAGUGGGGAAUCUUGCACAAUGGGGGAAACCCUGAUGCAGCGAUGCCGCGUGAGUGAAGAAGGCCUUUGGGUUGUAAAGCUCUUUCGUCGGGGAAGAAAAUGACUGUACCCGA